GUUUGUAAAUAGUCUUCUUUCUAUUUUAAAUGAUUAAAAGUAAAUGCUGAAUAAAAUGUAUCUACGAUUGCUUAAAACAUAGGGACAAUAUUUCAGUAAGUCUGUGUUUCAUUUAAUUUGAUUAAACAAGCUAGAUUUAUAUUUUUUUUAAUACAGCUACUGUAAUCUUAGAGUUAUAGGAAAAUAUUUUUUUUUAUUUGCAUAUCAUAAAUACAAUGAAAUAUCAUGCAUAUGAAACAUGUAUAUGCAGCCUUGUGUUUAAGUUUAGUGGACUAUUGACAAUAACAUAUUUCUGUAAAGCUAAAAAGACAUUUUAUUGCAACAGAUGUGUAUUAAUUAAAGUGGUGACAACGUUUUCGAGGAUUUCAUACAUGUUUUAAUCAAUCCAAAUAACCAGCGGGCGUACUCUGCAGGACAUCUUUUGAAAACUUGCCAGACAUUUCACACUUAGCUUAGUUGUUUAACAGAUAAUUAUUCUACUGCCAAUCAUUAAAUGGAACUUUUAUUUUUAGCAAAUGAGAC
rnacentral:lncRNA from 1 species